rnacentral:rRNA from 1 species
AUACGGAGGGUCCGAGCGUUAUCCGGAAUCAUUGGGUUUAAAGGGUCCGUAGGCGGGAAUCAAAGUCAGUGGUGAAAUCUUGCAGCUCAACUGUAAAAUUGCCAUUGAUACUGGAUUUCUUGAAUUAGUGUGAAGUGAUUAGAAUGUGUAGUGUAGCGGUGAAAUGCAUAGAUAUUACACAGAAUACCAAUUGCGAAGGCAGAUCACUAACACUAUAUUGACGCUGAGGGACGAAAGCGUGGGGAGCGAACAGGAUUAGAUACCCCAGUAGUCC